GCCCCUUGUCGCGCACGCGCACGGAGAGGGUUGAUUUAAAGGGCCAACAGCUCAUUUUAAACCUAUGAAGUUUGCAUUCCGGUGUCACCAUCGUGGAAAACUGGUUUUGCACGCUGCUCAGGGUAAAAGUUAACUCCUGCGAUCCUAGACACCCUGUGCUCAGCCUUUUCGACCCGAGUCUGAAGACGAUGCGAAGGGCGACCUUUUCUCUGUGGAAAUUGCAGGUGCUGAACCGGCCUUGUCAAUGGUUGCAAGAUGAAUCCGCAUCAUCACCACCCCAAGAUUCCUUCAGAUGCUUUAUGGCAGGCGUGGAGAACCUCAGGCCUUGGGGCAAAGGCGUCUGCAUGGGAGAUUUGCCCUGUGAACUGUUCUGCCUCGUGCAUUAAUAGCGGAGGCUUCGCUCCAUUGGAUGUUAUGCUCCGCAGCCUGUAAAUGUCACUGCUUUGUUUAUUUUCCCACCGCCACAACUAUUCAUUGCACAGCUCAACACGUUCCCCCCUCCACUUCACCAACUUCAAAAGAAAGAAAUCAAAGAACAGCAAAGAAAGCAAGAAUCUCAUGACUUUGCCCCUUCUCUUUUCAGCCUGCACUGCCUUCCUCUACUUUGUGCAGCCAUGCCAGCUCCCUAGUCCUUAAUGUUGAGUGCAGGCUCUUGUCCGCAACAGAGCCUAAGAGCCCUGUGGGCUCAGACCAAAACUUCAGAACAACCAAAGCUCAGUGGCUGACCUGACUGGCAUGCAGAAGGUUCCAGGUUCAAUCCCUGGCAUUUCUAGGUAGGGUUGAGGGAAGACCCUGUCUAGACGUCUGGAGAAUCAUUGUCCAUACACUUGGCAUGUAUUCAACUUUUUUCUUUUUUAGUGUGGGG